ensembl:lincRNA Gm29346 predicted gene 29346
GGCAAGCUGUCGGGGAGUCAGUUCAAGGCUGUGUAAUCCCCAGUAUGGCCGGAGGAGAAAUGCAGCCGGCUUGAGGAGGGUCCUGUUGAGCUGAUUACCAUGAGCCGCCCUAAACCAGAACUGAUCAAGCUCUGCUGGCAGCGUCUUUAGAACUUGGGUGGCCCCAUUCAAAGCUGAAAAAAAAAUCAACAAAAGGGCAAGGGUGGGGAGAUUUCAUGCACAUCCUUGAAUAAAGGAGUGAUGGUUUUCAAACUC